rnacentral:lncRNA from 1 species
CCUCCCAGCCUGCCUCAGAUCAUGGCCCUGAAAGAGAAGACAUCCUGUUUUUCCAACUCAAGAGACACCACUGCAGGGGGAGCAGUAGCAGGCUUGGGGACGUUUUCCACUCAAGAAGCUGGCUAUGGGAAGAGGCUUACCCUGUAUUUCAUGCAAUACAAAGGAAGAUGGCUGUUUGGGGUUGCCGUGUCUCUUAGCAAUUAAGGAGAUGGCUACAGCCAAGCAGUGUGAAGUGACAGCACCAGAAAGUUUUCUACACAUAUAUAAAUGAAUGAACGAUUACCAGCUGCCUCCACUCCCUUAACCUGCUACAGAAUUAAUAAACUAAUCUUGAGCAUA